AGGAAGGUUAUGCUGCUCUGGCUGAAGCUCUGAGAUCAAACCCAUCAUCAGAGCUGAUGGAGCUGGAUCUCAGAGGGAACCAUCCUGGAAAUUCAGGAGUAAAACUGGUUGUUUAUUUACUACAGGAUCCAAAGUGUAAACUGAAGAAACUGAGAUUUGAUAAAACAGGAAGGUUUGACUAUUUAAAGCGAGUCCAAAAAUAAGCCUGAUAAUCAGCAGUUUCUUGAACCCUGCAGCUCCUCUUCAUCACAAAAACCAGCAAAAGAUGAAGAAGCUCAAAACACAGAUGAAGAGGAAGGUUCCUCACUCACCUCAGACAGUAAAGACACAUUUUGUUGUGCGUAACCCACUCAGUGUAAUCGGUAAUUCAGGAAUGGUGGAGACCCCCAGGACAGCAACUCAAAAACAUCAACGUCAGGCAGCUGUAGGCUAGACAACGUCCUACCACCGUUAAUCCUGUUGAGGGAUUUUAUCUUUUAGUAAUUUUUGCUGUUUCUUAUCGUCUGAUCUUUUGUCCUCGCAAUGAGCUGUGCUAUUAACAGAUGUCUCAACACACACGCAUGCACGCACGCACACACACACACACACACACACACACACACACACACACACACACACACACUACUAUAGCUGUAAAGCUGAUUAUCCAUCCAACAGGCUCCCUCAUCUCCCACUAGACUUUUUUUAUUCCCUGACCAAGGUCUUUCUUGUGCCCAGCUACUUCAAUUUCAUAAUGAUCACUGUAGACGUCCUGGUAACUCUGAAAGCUCUGAGAUAUUGUUUAUAUUCUUCCCCUGAUCUGUACAUGACUAUAAUAUGAUGGUGGAGAUCCACAGAUGAUCUCUUGGACUUCAUGGUUCUGUGUUUGUCCUGACGAUGUCGUGUUUAUAGACUCGGUUUUACCUUUCCAAACUAUGUUCAAUCAAUUCAGAUCGUAACAGGUGAUUCCAGUGAAGUUCCAGACACGUCUCAAUCAUUAAAGCAAACAGAAGGCAUCAGAUCACAAUCUGGAGCGGCACAGCAGGGGGUCUGAAUACUUUUGUAAAUAGAGAUUUUAAUUAUAAUUUUAUCCAUUCAAAAUAAACAAUAAAGUGUCACAGGGUCAAAGUCAAGGGGUCUGAAUGCUUAUUAAUUCCAAUGUAUAUAUAUCCCAUAUGUAAUUGGCAAAGUCACACUAAGAUAUUUAUAUAAUAAAUGAUCCACUGACAAA